GUGGGGAAUUUUGGACAAUGGGCGCAAGCCUGAUCCAGCAAUGCCGCGUGCAGGAAGAAGGCCUUCGGGUUGUAAACUGCUUUUGUACGGAACGAAACGGUCCUGGCUAAUAUCCGGGGCUAAUGACGGUACCGUAAGAAUAAGCACCGGCUAACUACGUGCCAGCAGCCGCGGUAAUACGUAGGGUGCGAGCGUUAAUCGGAAUUACUGGGCGUAAAGCGUGCGCAGGCGGUGCUGUAAGACAGGCGUGAAAGCCCCGGGCUCAACCUGGGAAUUGUGCUUGUGACUGCAGUGCUGGAGUGCGGCAGAGGGGGAUGGAAUUCCGCGUGUAGCAGUGAAAUGCGUAGAUAUGCGGAGGAACACCGAUGGCGAAGGCAAUCCCCUGGGCCUGCACUGACGCUCAUGCACGAAAGCGUGGGGAGCAAACAGGAUUAGAAACCCCAGUAGUCC
rnacentral:rRNA from 1 species